GGAAGGAUCAUUAACAAAUCAAAUUGUGGUGUGGAUGUGAUUGAUUUAUUCUUUGAUGAUGUAUAGUGUUGAGUUCAGCACUCUAUAUCCACAGAGUAUAACAUCAAUCUCACAUACACCUAACAUUUGUGCUCCAGGCAUUUCGUCUGGGUGCAAUUAUAUAUCAUAUAUAUAUUCAUUAUUGUCAGUUGUUUGUCUAUUUUUUAAAUUUAUAAUCAUACUUUUAACAAUGGAUCUCUUGGCUCUUGCAUCGAUGAAGAACGCAGUAAUGUGCGAAAAGUAAUGCGAAUUGCAUACCUCUGCGAGUCAUCUAGUCUUUGAACGCAAAUGGCACUGUCACGACGAGUGAUAGUAUGUCUGUUUGAGAACCACAAAACACCUCACCACAAUAUAUGUGAGUGGAACAUGUCCUCUUGCACACUUGUAUGUGUAAUUGGAUUGAACAUAGGAUGCUGCGUGGAUCACACGCGGAAUAUGUGAUAGUCAUUUUCAUAUUCCGAGUGAUCUAAUAACGUGCACUUUUAGCGAAUGGUUUGUGGUGGUAUUGUUAAUACAAUACGAUCAUGUAUCAUUUGCAACUUUUAAUCGUUGGUCUCAAAUUAGACAAGGUUACCCGCUGAACUUAAGCAUAUCAGUAAGCGGAGGAAAAGAAACUAACAAGGAUUCCCGUAGUAACGGCGAGUGAAGUGGGAAUAGCUCAAAUUUAAAAUCUGGCCUUUGGCCCGAAUUGUAGUCUAAAGAGGUGCUAUCUUGAUAAUAUCAUGUGCGUACAAGUGUCCUGGAAUGGACCAUCACAGAGGGUGAGAAUCCCGUUUGGAUGCACAUUUUCAUCAUUAUGAGGCACUCUCUAAGAGUCGAGUUGUUUGGGAAUGCAGCUCAAAUUGGGUGGUAAACUUCAUCCAAGGCUAAAUAUUGGCAAGAGACCGAUAGCGAACAAGUACCGUGAGGGAAAGAUGAAAAGCACCUUGAAAAGGGAGUUAAACAGCGCGUGAAAUUGUUAAAAGGGAAACGAUUGAAGCUAGCAUUGUGCACAACAUUUUCUUUGGCUAAUAGAUUUUAGAGAGCGUAAGCCUCUAUAAUGUACCACAAUCAUUGAUGAUGUGUGCGCGAGUCAGGGCCGAUUUGAUUUGCCUUAGAAUGCAUUGGAAAUGUACUCAUCACUCGUGAUGACCUUAUAGUCUAAUGAUUUGGAUGAGGUGAAUUGGAUCUGGUAGUCGAUUAUGAAUGUUUUAUCUGCUCUUUUCCAAUGGUAUAAAGACUGCAUGCAGACUUUUAUAUUUCAUUUGGUGUAUGACAAUGAUAUUUCAUGACAUGAUUACGUAUCUGACGAAAUGGCUUUAAACGACCCGUCUUGAAACACGGACCAAGGAGUCUAACAUGUAUGCGAGUGUUUGGGUGGUAAACCCGAGCGCGCAAUGAAAGUGUUAGUUAUACGUGGGACCCAUUUAGUAGUGGGGCACCAUGAACCGAUCUUGAUAUCUCUUGAUAGAUUCGAGUUAGAGCAUAAAUGUUGGGACCCGAAAGAUGGUGAACUAUGCCUGGAUAGGAUGAAGCCAGAGGAAACUCUGGUGGAGGUCCGCCGCCGUUCUGACGUGCAAAUCGAUGGUCAAAUUUGGGCAUAGGGGCGAAAGACUAAUCGAACCAUCUAGUAGCUGGUUCCCUC
rnacentral:misc_RNA from 1 species